CGAAGAAGAGCGAAACAACUGUUGUAGAUAAGUCGGCUGCUAUGGGCGAGUCAGCAGAUGCUGUCAACCAAUCUGAGGAUAAGGGUGGAUCAAGCCAUGUUGACAAUCCAGAGGCUCAAUACAAUGCAAUACGCCAAACGCAGAGUAGCAGCACUGAAGAACUGUUGGUCGGGUUAACUCAUAACCCUUCCCGCUAGCGACAUACUGAGGAUUCAUCUUCGUCUUCCGGCGACUCAUGUCAAACUCAGGUU